GCUAUAGUAUAGUCAAAUUGAAAAGGACUUUUUCUAAAUAUUGUUCAAGAAUACUGAAGCGAACAGAUCACCCAUCUGCUUUUAUAAACUGCUCAAGAUUUUACAAAUGAAAGAAAGAUGAGAUCAACCUCUCUUUUCAGAACAAUUCUUCGUUAUAGAACAACUGGAGCUUUCGAAGUCGGACAUGAAAUAUUAUUGAUGUAAACAGACAACAGCGGUGUGUGUGCUGGGUCAUGUACACUCUCAGACUAGGCGUGACCUGAUGGUUAGUGUGCCCGGACUAUGAAUCAGAGGAUUGACGGUUCGCAUCUGUUGCCGCAUAAACGUGCUGUAAACAAUACAAGAUUGACGUUCUAGUCUCAAUAAUCGGUCAGGCAAGAGUAACCAAAGGUUAGCGGCGUGUUCUGCCAGUUCACGCUCACUCCGCUCGUUCUGGUGGUGCGAAACAAUUCCUAUACAUUCAAGGCGCAGUCC